GGGGCUGUAAAGGGAGCUAGGAGGUGUGUGUGUGGGGGGUGAGGUGUGGGUGCGCGUCGAAGGGAAAAGGAAAAGGGAUCGGGGUUUGUGAGGAACGUGGCUCACUUGGUGAAAGGGGUGAUGAGGUGAGGGGGCUGUGAUAUUGAUCGGAGGUUUGCGCGGCCAGAAGGGGAGAGAUUAUGGUGCCAGGUGUAGGAAGGUAAAGCUCGAUGAGGGGGGCGCGAGGUUAGAGGGGAAGCACGACAAUGGGGAAAAAAGGGGAAGAAGAAGGGUCUUGGGGUGAUGAGGGAGAAGGUGGGACAAACGGCGACGGAAUGGGGGCGACGAUGGCCGAAAAGGGGUUGGGGAUGUGAGCAGGGGCGCUAAGGUUGGAUGGUGAAGAAGAAGACAAAGUAAAAGAAAAUAUUUAGGGUUUGGGGUUAAAAGGGGGACAUGGUCGUGUCAGGCCCGUGUUGGAACACACGCCCGUGUCACACGUCCGUGUGGUUCGUCUCAGUCCAUG
rnacentral:lncRNA from 1 species